CUUCCCCUACAACAAGGCUCACACUCACUUGAAUCAAUACUAAGGUAUAUAACAGAUCAAUGGAAACAAAUACAGAUCACGGUAAACUCAGAGACCAUGGAGUGUUUGAGGUUUCAGAAUUAUGAGACAUUUGAUGGGAAAAUCUGGAGACAUUCAGUGGAGCCAGCCUAUGGAAGAGGAUAUAUAUGCUGUAGGCAAGAGUGUUAGAGGGACAUGGCUACCUAAGUGCUUUGGAACUAAGCUGUUAACUACACUCCAGUGCAAGAACUCAGGACUCAUUUUUCAGGCUUCAAAUCUAUUUCAAUAAGCAGAAGGGUCCCUAGAUGCUUCAUUGGGCUGGUGCUUGGAAAUCUUUCAAGAGGCAUGUUUUUAACAACAAUGAGCAAGGAGGAAGCACUCUGAAUUUGGAGAGAGAGACUUCAUUCAUACAGAGCCAUUGUUUUGACAAAUAUCCAUGUUUGCAUCUUUAAGACAAACCCCAUACAUGAUACAAAUCUAAUGUUCACUUAUAUGUUUUGUCCACAUCUUGAUGUACAAUUAGUUACACACAGUUCUAAAUUCAUCUUCUCAAUAAAAAGCAUUUUUAGACA